ACCAGCAUGGCCUAGUGGGUUGUGUGUUUGGUUGUGAAUCACACGGCGAGGGUUCGAGUCCCUCCACCCGAA